GCCUCAGUAACGGCGAGUGAAGCGGCAAGAGCUCAAAUUUUAAAUCCGGCGUUUUCACGUCCCGAGUUGUAAUUUGGAGAGGCAUCUUCGGGGACAGCGUCAGACCAAGUUCCUUGGAACAGGACGUCGCAGAGGGUGAGAAUCCCGUGCCCGUCUGGCAGUCUGAUCCCUUGUGAAGUGCCUUCUACGAGUCGAGUUGUUUGGGAAUGCAGCUCCAAGUGGGUGGUAAAUUUCAUCUAAAGCUAAAUAUGGGCGAGAGACCGAUAGCGCACAAGUAGAGUGAUCGAAAGAUGAAAAGCACUUUGAAAAUAGAGUUAAAAAGUACGUGAAAUUGUUGAAAGGGAAGCGCUUGAGACCAGACCCGGCCCCAAACAAACAGCCUCCCCUGCUCCAGGGGGGUGCACUUGUAUUGAGGCUGGGCCAGCGUCGGUUGGGGUGGUGGGACAAAGGCGUAGGGAAUGUAGCUCCCCUCGAGGAGUGUUAUAGCCCUGCGCGUAAUGCCACCUACCUCGACUGAGGGCCGCGCCUCGGCGAGGAUGCUGGCACAAUGGUCUUCAGCGACCCGUCU
rnacentral:rRNA from 1 species